rnacentral:rRNA from 1 species
CCCUUAGAUGUUCUGGGCUGCACGCGCGCUACACUGAUGCAUUCAACAAGUGUUACCUUGGCCGAGAGGUCUGGGAAAUCUUCUGAAUAUGCAUCGUGAUAGGGAUAGAUUAUUGCAAUUAUUAAUCUUGAACGAGGAAUUCCUAGUAAAUGCAGAUCAUCAUUCUGCGUUGAUUACGUCCCUGCCCUUUGUACACACCGCCCGUCGCUCCUACUGAUUGGGUGAUCCGGUGAGCCGUUCGGCCAUAGCAAUGUUUCUUGAGCAGGGCAAUGAAUGUUUCGCAAACCUUGCCACUUAGAGGAAGGAGAAGUCGUAACA